UUGAAGAGCAAUGAGAUGCACACAAGAAAUCUCUAAAAGCGUGAAGUACUAAUGGCUAACAUGAUGGUACAUAAGCUUGGGUUCAUCCUUACUAUUCUUCUCAUAUCAGCAGCUGUGAAUGUUUCAUGGUUGGAAAGGAAAUGUGUGAUAGCUACACCAAAUGUGGAUCAUGAUCUUGCUGCAGUCAAGAGGAGACUACUUCCACAAGUUAAUAGUCUUAAAACUUGUACUAGAGCUUGUAAAACCAGUGCUGAUUGUAGUGAUUGUUGGUUUUGUUGCGUUUGCGCACAAAACGCGCAAGGUUAUCCCAUGUGUAUAUAGAUCAUGUGCAAACAUGACUAUAUACAGUCAGACCUCUUUAAUUGAUGAUAGGCCUGCUAUCGUCUUUUAAUUUUAUUGUAUCCUUUUAUUUCGUCCCCUAUGUAAUAAUGAAAUAAGUGAAGUGCACAAGUUUGCAAAUAAUAAAGUAAGUGAAAUGGACGAAUUUCAAAAAUGGAAAGAAAUAUUGUCCACAACUCAAAGUGCUAGCUGAGAUAGCUGGUUAUUAUUUUUUUUAUUAUGCAUCAUAUUUUUACC